AAAAUAAAAUAAAAUUAUAACACAUGAUUUUUAUAACCACUACAAAAAAUCGAAUUUGCCUUCUCUGAACCGGUGGAUGUGCAAACAGAUGAGGAAAAUGUUAAAACAUACUCGAUUUCCUAGUAAACGGAAGCACAAUCAGAGGGAAAUGAAGAAAGAGAGGGAAAUUAAAAAAUGCCGCACCGGAUACUCCAGCGGGCGGCGGCGGCGCAACUUAGAAGAAAAGGAAAGAAAAAAGAGAAGAGGGGGAGAAAGUAACGAAGAAAGAAAGAAGAAAGUGGGGUGGGCAAGGUGGGUGACGGCGGCGCGUGAAUUGGAUUGUUGGAGUGGUUAUGCUUCUUAUUUGAUUUGUAUCUUAAAACCUAAAGGUUUAGUAAUUAUUCCCAAGGAAGAAGACGACAGUGGCCUACUCCCAUGUUAUCCCAACUAUUCUAGCACUUCCCUUUUCAACAAGUGCUGACCCUCGGAACACAUUGCGAAUGCGAUUGCAACCGAAUCGAAGAGGAUAUUGUCGGGACGCUUAGAGAGAGCAUUCCGUGGCAAAUCGAGUCGAUACCGUCGAUAGCGACCGCAUUGAUGGAAGGUUACGAUCGUCGACAAGAUACGUGGA